rnacentral:rRNA from 1 species
AUUGAACGCUGGCGGCAGGCCUAACACAUGCAAGUCGAGCGAGCGGCGGGCGGGUGAGUAAUAUAUGGGGGCUGCCCGAUAGAGUGGGAUAACUACUGGCAACGGUAGCUAAUACCGCAUACUAUCGGAUAACCCAGAUGGGAUUAGCUAGUAGGUGAGGUACUGGCUCACCAAGGCGACGAUCCCUAGCUGGUCUGAGAGGAUGAUCAGCCACACUGGGACUGUGACACGGCCCAGACUCCUACGGAGGCAGCAGUGGGGAAUAUUGGACAAUGGGGGAAAGCCUGAUGCAGCCAUGCCGCGUGUAUGAAGAAGGCCCUAGGGUUGUAAAGUACUUUUAGUCGGGAGGCGUUACCGACAGAAGAAGCACCGGCUAACUCCGUGCCAGCAGCCGCGGUAAUUC